rnacentral:pre_miRNA from 1 species
GGAAACUUGGAAACUACCGUUGGAUCGAGAAAUGAACGUCCAAGAUUCGUCCACGUCACCAUGAGUUAAAAUUUAACUCGCGGAUUCACUCAUGAAUUAAAAUUUUAUUGGGAGUUAAAUUUUAACGCAUGGUGACGUGGACGAAUCUUGAACGUCCAUUUCUCGAUCCAACGGUAGUUUCUAAGUUUCC